rnacentral:rRNA from 1 species
GGGUGCGUAACGCGUGGGAAUCUGCCCUUUGGUUCGGAAUAACAGCUGGAAACGGCUGCUAAUACCGGAUGAUGACGAAAGUCCAAAGAUUUAUCGCCAGAGGAUGAGCCCGCGUUGGAUUAGGUAGUUGGUGGGGUAAAGGCCUACCAAGCCGACGAUCCAUAGCUGGUCUGAGAGGAUGAUCAGCCACACUGGGACUGAGACACGGCCCAGACUCCUACGGGAGGCAGCAGUGGGGAAUAUUGGACAAUGGGCGAAAGCCUGAUCCAGCAAUGCCGCGUGAGUGAUGAAGGCCCUAGGGUUGUAAAGCUCUUUUACCCGGGAAGAUAAUGACUGUACCGGGAGAAUAAGCCCCGGCUAACUCCGUGCCAGCAGCCGCGGUAAUACGGAGGGGGCUAGCGUUGUUCGGAAUUACUGGGCGUAAAGCGCACGUAGGCGGCUUUGUAAGUCAGAGGUGAAAGCCUGGAGCUCAACUCCAGAACUGCCUUUGAGACUGCAUCGCUUGAAUCCAGGAGAGGUCAGUGGAAUUCCGAGUGUAGAGGUGAAAUUCGUAGAUAUUCGGAAGAACACCAGUGGCGAAGGCGGCUGACUGGACUGGUAUUGACGCUGAGGUGCGAAAGCGUGGGGAGCA